rnacentral:rRNA from 1 species
AUUGAACGCUGGCGGCAUGCUUUACACAUGCAAGUCGAACGGUAACAGGCCGCAAGGUGCUGUCGUGUGGUGAACGGGUGAGUAAUGCAUCGGAACGUGUCCAGUCGUGGGGGUUAACUACUCGAAAGAGUAGCUAAUACCGCACACGAUCUAUGGAUGAAAGCGGGGGACCGUAAGGCCUCGCGCGAUUGGAGCGGCCGAUGUCAGAUUAGGUAGUUGGUGGGGUAAAGGCUCACCAAGCCAACGAUCUGUAGCUGGUCUGAGAGGACGACCAGCCACACUGGAACUGAGACACGGCCCAGACUCCUACGGGAGGCAGCAGUGGGGAAUUUUGGACAAUGGGCGCAAGCCUGAUCCAGCAAUGCCGCGUGCAGGAAGAAGGCCUUCGGGUUGUAAACUGCUUUUAUACGGAACGAAGCGGCUCUAGUUAAUACCCGGGGGUAAUGACGGUACCGUAAGAAUAAGCACCGGCUAACUACGUG